CGCCUGUUUAUCAAAAACAUUUUCUUUUGGUAUAAGUAAGAUAAGACCUGCCCGGUGAUUUUUAACGGCUGCGGUAUUUUGACUGUGCUAAGGUAGCAUAAUCAUUUGCUACUUAAUUGGUAGCUGGAAUGAAAGGUUAAACUAGCUUACUCAGUUUGUUGUGUUUUGUAAGAAAUUAAAGUCGAGGUAAGAAUUCUUUGAUCUGCUAGGGGACGAUAAGACCCUAGAAGCUUAACAAUAAGAGUAUUUAUUAGUUAUAAAAAUUAAUUUGUUUUACUGGGGCGGUAAAGGUAUAUGAACUAUUAGUGUAUUGAUAGAUCCUUAAAAUAAAGAUAAAACGGGAAAGUUACUCUAGGGGUAACAGUGCAAUAUUUUUGGAGAGAUCAUAUCGAUAAAAAUGUUUGCAACCUCGAUGUUGAAUUAAGAUGUCUACGUGAAGCAGCAGGUACGUGAGAGGGUUUGUUCAACCUUUAAAUUUUUACAUGAUCUGAGUUCAAACCGGAG
rnacentral:rRNA from 1 species